AAAAAAGGUAAGCUACUAAGAGCGAAUGGUGGAUGCCUUGACUGGUAAAGGCGAUGAAGGACGUACUAGACUGCGAUAAGCUACGGGGAGCUGUCAAGAAGCUUUGAUCCGUAGAUUUCCGAAUGGGGCAACCCAGUAUAUAGAGAUAUAUACUACCAUAAUGGAGCGAACGAGGGGAAUUGAAACAUCUUAGUACCCUCAGGAAAAGAAAUCAAUAGAGAUUAUGUCAGUAGCGGCGAGCGAAAGCGUAAGAGGGCAAACCCAGUGCUUGCACUGGGGGUUGUAGGACUGCAAUGUGCAAUAAGUAAGGUUAGUAGAACACUCUGGAAAGUGUAGCCAUAGAGGGUGAUAGUCCCGUAUACGAAAACCAAACUUUAGCUAGCAGUAUCCUGAGUAGGGCGAAACACGUGGAAUUUUGUCUGAAGCUGGGUCGACCACGAUCCAACCCUAAAUACUAAUACCAGAUCGAUAGUGCACAAGUACCGUGAGGGAAAGGUGAAAAGAACUGAGGUGAUCAGAGUGAAAUAGAACCUGAAACCAUUUGCUUACAAUCAUUCAGAGCACUAUGUAGCAAUACAGUGUGAUGGACUGCCUUUUGCAUAAUGAGCCUGCGAGUUGUGGUGUCUGGCAAGGUUAAGCACACGCGAAGCCGUAGCGAAAGCGAGUCUGAAUAGGGCGCUUAAGUCAGAUGCUGCAGACCCGAAACGAAGUGAUCUAUCCAUGAGCAAGUUGAAGCUAGUGUAAGAACUAGUGGAGGACUGAACCCAUAGGCGUUGAAAAGCCCCGGGAUGACUUGUGGAUAGGGGUGAAAGGCCAAUCAAACUUCGUGAUAGCUGGUUCUCUCCGAAAUAUAUUUAGGUAUAGCGUUGUGUCGUAGUAUAAGGGGGUAGAGCACUGAAUGGGCUAGGGCAUACACCAAUGUACCAAACCCUAUCAAACUCCGAAUACCUUAUAUGUAAUCACAGCAGUCAGGCGGCGAGUGAUAAAAUCCGUCGUCAAGAGGGAAACAACCCAGACUAUCAGCUAAGGUCCCCAAGUCUUACUUAAGUGGAAAACGAUGUGAAGUUACUUAAACAACCAGGAGGUUGGCUUAGAAGCAGCCAUCCUUUAAAGAAAGCGUAAUAGCUCACUGGUCUAGUGAUUUUGCGCGGAAAAUAUAACGGGGCUAAAGUAAGCACCGAAGCUAUAGACUUAGUUUUACUAAGUGGUAGGAGAGCGUUCUAUUUGCGUCGAAGGUAUACCGGUAAGGAGUGCUGGAGCGAAUAGAAGUGAGCAUGCAGGCAUGAGUAGCGAUAAUUAAUGUGAGAAUCAUUAACGCCGUAAACCCAAGGUUUCCUACGCGAUGCUCGUCAUCGUAGGGUUAGUCGGGUCCUAAGUCGAGUCCGAAAGGGGUAGACGAUGGCAAAUUGGUUAAUAUUCCAAUACCAACAUUAGUGUGCGAUGGAAGGACGCUUAGGGCUAAGCAAGCUAGCGGAUGGAAGUGCUAGUCUAAGGAUGUAGGAGCUUAUACAGGCAAAUCCGUAUAAGAAUACUCCGAGAUCUUAAAGGCUCUUUGAAGUCUUCGGAUG
rnacentral:rRNA from 1 species